ensembl:lncRNA
AUGGAUGUCACAGAAGCCAAUGUACAUGAAGCUUCACUCAACAGUCCUCUCGCAAAAGACACGCCUGUCAAAAACAAAGAGAAUCAGGGAUCGGUGCCAGAGAGUCCAACGUUCUUCAACUCCAGUCCGUUUAAGGUUCUGUCUCCUCAACCGCCCAAAUUCCUCAAAUCUCUCUUGCCACUGAAGGAGGAGAACAAAGUCAAACGUUCUCUGGAGUCACAGCCUUUGCUGGGACAGGAGGUGAUUAACACACACACACACACACACACACACACACACACACACACACACACACACNUUCUCACAUAUUUUAUGAUCUGACAAUGAUUCAGGCUCUAAUCCCUGUCUUAAAGUGUUUCUAAGUGUCUCUCAGUCCACAGAGAAGCUGUCUUUCAGACAGGGGCCAAAGUAAACACUAAAUUAAGGUCCAAAUGCAAGUGAAAAUCACCAAUCGGCUGGUAAUUUCAUUAGGAUCUUUAAGAUGAUCCUGAUGAUGCUUUGUAAGAAUCCUCAUCUGAAUCUUACUAGUGACAUUAGUUCAGCUUAAAUCAAAGAUGUAUAAUAAAAUUUGCUUAAGAAAAAUUAACCA